GGGUCGGUGGGUCAGUGGUAGAAUUCUCACCUUCCAUGUGGGAGACCUGGGUUUCAUUUCCUAGCCAGCUCA
rnacentral:tRNA from 1 species